AGGACGAACGCUGGCGGCGUGCUUAACGCAUGCAAGUCGAGCGGUAAGGCUCCUUCGGGAGUACACGAGCGGCGAACGGGUGAGUAACACGUGAGUAAUCUGCCCUUCACUUCGGGAUAACCACCGGAAACGGUGGCUAAUACCGGAUACGACCAGUCCUUGCAUGAGGUACUGGUGGAAAGUCUUUUCGGUGGAGGAUGUGCUCGCGGCCUAUCAGCUUGUUGGUGGGGUAAUGGCCUACCAAGGCGGCGACGGGU
rnacentral:rRNA from 1 species